CGCGUAGGUGGUUUGGUCAGUCAGAUGUGAAGGCCCUGGGCUUAACCUGGGAAUUGCAUUUGAUACUGCCAGACUGGAGUAUGGUAGAGGGAAGUGGAAUUCCGGGUGUAGCGGUGAAAUGCGUAGAUAUCCGGAGGAACAUCAGUGGCGAAGGCGGCUUCCUGGACCAAUACUGACACUGAGGUGCGAAAGCGUGGGUAGCAAACA
rnacentral:rRNA from 1 species